UAUAAGUGUUUUAUGGCACUUUUUAAAUCCAUAUCCACCUUGUGUGCAAUGUCAGUCGAUCUUCUUCAUGGAGAUCGACCAAACAUCAACCUUUAUCUUUUAACCCUUUGUCUGAAAAAUGUUAUGAAUAAACAAUUCAAAAUA
rnacentral:misc_RNA from 1 species